UUACUGGUAGUUUUUCUGGGUCGAAAUCA
rnacentral:rRNA from 1 species